UCCUCCCUAAAUCGAUCUAGGGCUCCGACGAAAGUAGGGGACGAAGCAACUGGUGGAUCGAGGCGGCGAAGGGAGGCUGCGAAGCCGGCGAGACGAGGCUGCAAAGCCAGUGAAGGGAGGCUGCGAAGGGAGCAUCAAAUCUCUGAUUCUCUUUCGCUUUCUUUUCACUAUAUUUCUAAGCUUGGCUUAUACUAGCUCAUGGAUCCCUUCGAUUUGGUGCAAAAAGGGCUCAGCAACAUUUUGUUUGUAGGUCAGUAGCUAUGUGAAAGGAUUAGAGUUGUAAUCGCCAAAGCAUUUUUGGGCACACUUUGUCAUCCCUGCUCUGUGUUGCCGGUUGACUUGCAGGAUGGAGCUAAUGAAAGCAAUGCUGAUGUGAGCAAACGCAAGAAGGCCAGGCUAGUAUACUACUGGGGGUCAGUAUACUACUAGGGAUCAGUACACUACUGAGGGUCAGUAUACUACUGGGGCUAGUAUACUACUGGGGCUCAAUAUACUACUGAGGGUCAGUA